rnacentral:rRNA from 1 species
CCUACGGGAGGCAGCAGUGGGGAAUAUUGCACAAUGGGCGAAAGCCUGAUGCAGCAACGCCGCGUGAGGGAUGACGGCCUUCGGGUUGUAAACCUCUUUUAGUAGGGAAGAAGGGCCUUCGGGUUUGACGGUACCUGCAGAAAAAGCACCGGCUAACUACGUGCCAGCAGCCGCGGUAAUACGUAGGGUGCAAGCGUUGUCCGGAAUUAUUGGGCGUAAAGAGCUCGUAGGCGGUUUGUCGCGUCUGCUGUGAAAACCCCGAGGCUCAACCUCGGGCCUGCAGUGGGUACGGGCAGACUAGAGUGCGGUAGGGGAGAAUGGAAUUCCUGGUGUAGCGGUGGAAUGCGCAGAUAUCAGGAGGAACACCGAUGGCGAAGGCAGUUCUCUGGGCCGUAACUGACGCUGAGGAGCGAAAGCGUGGGGAGCGAACAGGAUUAGAUACCCUGGUAGUCCACGCCGUAAACGUUGGGCGCUAGAUGUGGGGACCUUUCCACGGUUUCCGUGUCGCNGACUACGACAUAGCGCCCGCCGUCGGAGGUACGGCCGCGACGACGUAAACUAACAAAGAAGUAGACGGCGNGAGACGACGCCGACGACGACGACGAGGGAGGAGG